AACAGCCUUUCGUUCACGACGUGUUGUGCCUUAGCCUCUUGCCGCUUAAGCCUUUGCGACUACCAACAUGAUGAAAUCUGUCUGUCAUCUCCUUCUUCUCGCAGCAACCUUUGCCUACGCAAGUGCUGAAGGUUCACUUGCGUGUUCAAAGUACUUGUCCUUCACGUUGGUGACCUCAGUAGAUCAACCUGCCUUCAUCGACUGCAAGUCGGAUCCAGCGGGACGUGCAGCCUUGACUGCCCUCGCAAGUGGUACUCGCUGCAGCGACUACAAGUUUUACAACGGCGAAAUCUUCUGUCAAAUUGCCGCAGCUCCCUACAUGAAAUGUGUAGCGGGAAAACUUGGUUGGUUGAAGGCUGAUGGCUCCAUCGACAGCGCAAAGGUCUUAGCCAAGUUAAAGUCUGUCGUCACCUAUAACCCUAGCUGCAGAGCUGCUCAGUACGACUUCGCUGUAAAACAAUGUGGCACUACCAUCAACUACUACGCGUUCCUAGAGAAGGUCGCAUGCCUCCAAUACGUGUCGUUCAAGUACGCUCCUGGCUAACCUGCACAAUCUGGUCCUCAUGCCUUCAUCUGACUGGCGGCUUUCAAGUGUUCACAACAGGUUGAAAACGUUGCGUGAACACUUCAACAAUGGAACUUUUUGUAUUAUUUCACCCAAGCUGUGCUAAAUAAUUUACAAUACAUUCU
rnacentral:misc_RNA from 1 species